rnacentral:lncRNA from 1 species
GCAUAAAAGAAAGAUUGACGCGUCUUUGGCUGGAAUAGCGGUGGCCAUCGAAAGCUAGUGGCGCUUUUUCGGUGAUUGAUUGAGAUGUUACUGGGAAAAUACACAACAGUUUAACAAUUGUUUUUUUUUUUUCAUUACCAAAUAUGUCUAAUCGUGUUUUGCUCCAUGAAUGAGGUGCAAUUUCUUCACAAGAUUGUGAAAAUGGUUUCAUUUGCGCUACAUUUCACAUGCAGCUGGUAUAGUGAUGGGUUUGAUCAGAUCUAAAUGUACAGCUCAAUAGCUGGAAGAGCUGUGCCGGGCCACUAGGAACUGGCAAAACUGCCCUCGCCAUGGCUAUUGCUCAAGAUUUAGUCAACAAGGUUCCUUUUUGUCCUAUGGUGGGCUCAAAAGUCUUUAGUACUGAAAAAAAAAUGAGGUUUUAAUGGAAAACCUUCGGAGAGCUAUUGGACUUUGUAUCAACAAAACUAAUCUUAGGAAGAAGAAGUCAUUGAACUUACCCCAGUUGAAACUGAGAAUAAAUGGGAGGUAUGGUAGGAUGUGGCAAAACUGUCAGUCAUGUUUAAGCAUUGUACUGAAGACAGCUAAAGGAACAAAGCAGUUCAAGUUGGAUCCUUCCAUAUUUUAUCUACAUAUCUCUCCAGAAGGAACAUGUUGAAAUGGACGACAUCAUAAACAUUGAAGCUAAGAGCGGAGCGGUUAAACGUCAAGGCCGAUUCGAUACGUUUGCCACCGAGUUUGAUCUCGAAGCCGAAGAAUAGGUCCCUCUUCCCAAAGGCGAUGUUCACAAAAAGAAAGAAAUUGUCCAAGACGUCACCCUAUACCAUUUGGACGUGGCCAAUGGCCAUCCACAUCAGCGAGGCCGAGACAAUAUUUCCAUGAUGAGACAGUUAACGAGGCCGAAAAAAAGAGAUAACAGACAAGCUGAGUAGAGAAAUCAACAGAGUAGUCGACAAGUACAUUGACCAGGGAAUUGCAGAGCUUGUACCCGGCGUGUUAUCCAUCGACGAAAUUCACUUGCUGGACAUGGAAUGCUUUGCCUAUCUCCAAAAAACGUUAACGUUCGCUCUUCUCCAUCACCAAUCAAGAUAUAAAAGAAGUCUCAAUGCCAAAUCAUCAGCCAAGAUCCUGACGCAAGACAAAGACAAAUAUAUGAAAUGAGGAAUCGAGUAAAAUUUGCUUGUCUGUGUUGGUUUUUUUUUCCAUUUUUUCCUAAUAAAAUUAUCCUCCACGAAAAACCAA